AUGCACAACAGCGAGCACACAUACUAACUUUGGAGCGAUACACAAGAGCAGCCUGGCCCUGCACAAGGAUGGCGUGCAAGUUCGUGAAGCUUCCAUAUUUUUA
rnacentral:snRNA from 1 species